rnacentral:misc_RNA from 1 species
GAUGAAGAACGUAGCGAAAUGCGAUAAGUAAUGUGAAUUGCAGAAUUCAGUGAAUCAUCGAAUCUUUGAACGCACCUUGCGCUCCUUGGUAUUCCGAGGAGCAUGCCUGUUUGAGUGUCAUUAAAUUCUCAACCUCACCAGUUUUCUGAACUGUUCUUCGAGGCUUGGAUGUGGGGGUUUGUGCAGGCUGCCUCACGGCGGUCCGCUCCCCUGAAAUGCAUUAGCGAGUUCAUACUGAACUUCCGUCUAUUGGUGUGAUAAUUAUCUACGCCGUGGACGAGGAUCAGACUCGCUUCUAACCGACCGCGAGGACAAUACCUUGACAAUUUGACCUCAAAUCAGGUAGGACUACCCGCUGAACUUAAGCAUAUCAAUAAGCGGAGGA